CUCCCCUACGGGACGCAGCAGUGAGGAAUAUUGGUCAAUGGGAGAGAUCCUGAACCAGCCAAGCCGCGUGAGGGAAGACGGCCCUAUGGGUUGUAAACCUCUUUUGUCGGGGAGCAACGAGGCCACGUGUGGCCGAAGUGAGAGUACCCGAAGAAAAAGCAUCGGCUAACUCCGUGCCAGCAGCCGCGGUAAUACGGAGGAUGCGAGCGUUAUCCGGAUUUAUUGGGUUUAAAGGGUGCGUAGGCGGAACAUUAAGUCAGCGGUAAAAUCGAGGGGCUCAACCCCUUUAAGCCGUUGAAACUGGU
rnacentral:rRNA from 1 species